AGUGAACGCUGGCGGUAGGCCUAACACAUGCAAGUCGAACGGCAGCACAGUAAGAGCUUGCUCUUACGGGUGGCGAGUGGCGGACGGGUGAGGAAUACAUCGGAACCUACUUUUUCGUGGGGGAUAACGUAGGGAAACUUACGCUAAUACCGCAUACGACCUACGGGUGAAAGCAGGGGAUCUUCGGACCUUGCGCGAUUGAAUGAGCCGAUGUCGGAUUAGCUAGUUGGCGGGGUAAAGGCCCACCAAGGCGACGAUCCGUAGCUGGUCUGAGAGGAUGAUCAGCCACACUGGAACUGAGACACGGUCCAGACUCCUACGGGAGGCAGCAGUGGGGAAUAUUGGACAAUGGGCGCAGGCCUGAUCCAGCCAUACCGCGUGGGUGAAGAAGGCCUUCGGGCUGUAAAGCCCUUUUGUUGGGAAAGAAAAGCAGCAGGUUAAUACCCCGCUGUUCUGACGGUACCCAAAGAAUAAGCACCGGCUAACUUCGUG
rnacentral:rRNA from 1 species